GUUCGCCUCCCUGCCCUCUUUGCCCUUUCGCUCCUCUGGCCUGCAGGCCGCCUCUCCACGCGUUUUCCGCAGGCCUAGCCUUCUCCGGGUACCCCAGCGUCGGGGCUGGACACCCGUCGCCAAAAUUCAAGGCGGAGAGGAAGUGCCCGGGGCCGAGGUGCAACCGGGCCUCGGCAACGCAGGCCUCCUGGCCUUUUUUCACAGGAGAUUUGAAGAAUUCCUGUCGGGCCUUCAAAAAGCUAUGUCCAGAGAGCCCUGAGCGCGGGGAGAUCACUGUCCGCCUGGCGGAAGCUGCAGGGUCGACUCAUCGCCUCCCUGAUUUUUGUUUUUCAAACGUCUUGCUUCUCCCACUUUGGGCAAGAGAAAUGUGAAACCCGGCAGCAGUCGGACCAGGCGGGCUUGUGGCUCCGAGCCUGCCGGCCCACAGCUCUAGACCUGGUUGUUUUGUAGUGUGUCGUCCGGAGGACCAAAUUUUCC
ensembl:lncRNA